rnacentral:tRNA from 1 species
AGGCAACGGCUUUUGAUGCCGUCAUACCCUGGUUCGAAUCCAGGUAGACCUG